AAUCGCGAAUCAGAAUGUCGCGGUGAAUACGUUCCCGGGCCUUGUACACACCGCCCGUCACACCAUGAGAGUCGAUAACACCCGAAGCCUGUGAGCUAACCUUAGGGGAGCAGCAGUCGAAGGUGGGGUUGAUGAUUAGGGUGAAGUCGUAACAAGGUAGC
rnacentral:rRNA from 1 species